UCGCACUCCCCGUCAGAGCGGAACAAUCCAAAAGUAAAUGUCCCGAUUUCUGAUUUAUUUCCAUUUCCCUCCGAGGGAAAUUGGGGCGUUUGUGAAGCGUCUCCUGCUGCCGGAGUCUGAUGUAUCGCUGAGAGGGUGAUUGUGGUAGGUCAGGACAAGAGGAACUUGUCCAAGAGGAAGAUGACAAGAGGAGAUUAGCCACACAACCCUGGAGGCUGGUGGUGCAGUGAGAUCAGCGCCAGGCUCGAGAACAGAGGUUCCCAAGUUCGAUCCAGUGACAGGCUGCUCCCAAGCGCGCUCUCCAUCCAUGCUGGGUUGAUGUCGAGCUCGCAACUCGGCCUCGUUAAAAAAAACACUGCCACCUCCAGUUUAAAUUCCCACGCGGAACAUUGUGGAGGAUCAAAAACCCAAACCUCACUACCAGCUUGCUCUUGGCUUCUUCUUUCAAGGAACAUGUAAGUAUCUGGGAAACAAGAGGACCUGCAGAUACUAGAAAUCUAGAGAACUACACACAAAGUGCUGGAGGAGCUCAGCAUGUCAGGCAACAUCUAUGGAUAGGAAUCAACAUUUUGGGACAAGACCCUUCAUCGGGACUCUUGAUACCCACGUAUCUGGAACAUCAACAAGCAAAGAAAAUAGAAAGUAGUCCGAGAUAGGGAAAGCCUUUGACAAAAUUUAGUUCAGGGCUUAAAAAACCCUGUCAAACAGAGCUCAA